ACCAGGGUGGCAGAGUGGUAAAAGCAUUGGACUAAAGAUCCAAUGGAAAAUGUCCCUGUGGGUUCGAACCCCACUCCUGAUA